rnacentral:rRNA from 1 species
UACGUAGGGGGCUAGCGUUGUCCGGAAUCAUUGGGCGUAAAGCGCGUGUAGGCGGUCCGGUAAGUCCGCUGUGAAAGUCGAGGGCUCAACCCUCGAAUGCCGGUGGAUACUGUCGGGCUAGAGUACGGAAGAGGCGAGUGGAAUUCCUGGUGUAGCGGUGAAAUGCGCAGAUAUCAGGAGGAACACCAAUUGCGAAGGCAGCUCGCUGGGACGUACUGACGCUGGAGACGCGAAAGCGUGGGAGCGAACAGG